GCUGAGGCUGGGGCAGCAGCGAGGGUAAUACAGAGGGUGAGAGCGUUAAUCGGAGUUACUGGGCGGAAAGCGCGCGUAGGUGGUUAAGUAAGUCAAAUGUGAAAUCCCCGAGCUUAACUUGGGAAUUGCAUUCGAUACUGGUUAGCUAGAGUAUGGGAGAGGAUGGUAGAAUUCCAGGUGUAGCGGUGAAAUGCGUAGAGAUCUGGAGGAAUACCGAUGGCGAAGGCAGCCAUCUGGCCUAAUACUGACACUGAGGUGCGAAAGCAUGGGGAGCAAACAGGAUUAGAUACCCCAGUAGUC
rnacentral:rRNA from 1 species